GUCAGGGGUCAGGGACAGGGCAGGGGUCAAUGAGUGUGUGGACGUAAGGGAGUGGGUGAGGACCUGAGAUGUUACUAAAUCUCAACGAUUCAUGUUCCAGCUGCUGCUGCUGCCUUGUCAUGGAGGAUAUUCUCCUCCAUCCGUGUCCACUGUUUCUCAGUUGUCGCUGCUCUGGUUGAAGUCUCCCAUAACUAGCAACUUGGCUCGUGUCAAAUGUGUUGUAAUCUGCCUCUCUACCUUGUGGGUAUGUGUGUGUAUCACCUAGUUGUGCUUGCCGGGGGUUGAGCUUUGGCUCUUAGGUCCCGCCUCUCAACAGUCAAUCUACUGGUGUACAGAUUCCUGAGCAUCUCGGGCUGUAACAUUUCUACAUUGGAAGCUGUGUGUGUGUGUGUAUGUGUGUGUGUGUGUGUGUGUGUGUGUGUGUGUGUGUGUGUGUGUGUGUGUGUGUGUGUGUGUGUGUGUGUGUGUGUGUGUGCGUGCGUACAUGCGCGCGUUUGUGUUCUAAUUACUUAAUUCAUGUCUGGUUGAAUCCAUUAAUAUCUGAAUAAUCCUAGACUCGUUCGGCUGGCUUAUAGGCAAUAUAUUAUAUAUAUAUAUAUAUAUAUAUAUAUAUAUAUAUAUAAUAUAUAUAUAUAUAUAUAUAUAUAUAUAUAUAUAUAUACAAACAUACAUGUAUGCCUGAACAUUAUAUGCUUUUGUCAGAUAAUACCACUAUUCUCGACCAUGUAUGUAUAUAUGUAUACUUAAUUAUUUAUAAACCUGUGUGUAUAUCCAAAUAAAUUGAGUAGUUGAAUACUGUUAUAAAUGUAUGUAUACUUGAGUAUCCAUACGCCUGAGCAAGGACAGAAUAUACACCUGUGUAUACCGUGUCUCAACACAGAGGUUUCUCGUGUCAAAUUAUCGCUGUCAGAGCUAUUGAGAGCUUCAGAAAUAUAUAAAUAAUCUCUGUACGGUUUCGAAUCCCAAAUAGAGAACGAGCCGAUUAUUCU